CCUCAAAAUGGUUUGAUCCUGCUCAACUUUCCCAACUCGGGCUCUGAGCCGCUACUUGCAGAGCUAAGCGCUGCCCCACAGAAGGUAAUGUGCUGUAGUGGUGUGGGUACUUGGUUUGAACUUCUACCACUCAGUACCAACACAUUAUUAUCAUUACCAGUCCUCAUUUUUGCUGCAUUUGAUCAAAGGUUACUGUUUAUGUUGUUAGGUAGGAGUUAGCAUGAAUUAAUAUUAAAGCCAAGGUGCUACUGACUAGCUAACUGACCGGAUGCCCAUUAACAUUAUAACUCCUAUUGUGUGAGUGUGCAGACAGACAGCCUCAUCAUGGACAUAAGAUUGUUUUUUUCGAAGAAAAGAGCCAGGUUCAGCUGAAUACAAUCUAUUUGUGUAUGAUUGUCAGUCCAAAGAGGGAGAGAUGAAAAAGGGGAAGGAGAAGAAAGAGUGCAAGGUCAGGAAGAACCAGGAAGAGAACAAGGAGAGACUCUGGGAGAUGAGAGCGUGCAGACCAGGGAAAGAAAUGCUGUGCAUCACAUUUCAAAUAAAAGUCAAAAACUAAGUCCUCGGUCCAUUUUUGUUUUGUUUUUUUGGUGCUUGGUAUAGGGGGCUGGUUUACUCCAGAAACAUACAUGCUGUUUAUGUGUAUGUUGAGGAGCUGCUGUAUCUAAAUGAGUCGUCUUUUCCCAGA